UUGUACGGUGGCCGAUAAGGGCCACCUCUGCUGCAUGGAAACGCGACUGUGCUGCAAGGAAAUGCGACUGUGCUGCAUGAAAACACGAUUGUGCUGCAUGGAAACACGACUGUGCUGCAAGGAAAUGCGAUUGUGCUGCGUGGAAACACGACUGUGCUGCAUGGAAACACGACUGUGCUGCAUGGAAACACGACUGUGCUGCAUGGAAACACGACUGUGCUGCAUGGAAACACGUCUGUGCUGCAUGGAAACACGACUGUGCUGCAAGGAAAUGCGAUUGUGCUGCACAGAAAUGCACCUG